rnacentral:rRNA from 1 species
UCCAGACUCCUACGGGAGGCAGCAGUGAGGAAUAUUGGUCAAUGGCCGGAAGGCUGAACCAGCCAAGUCGCGUGAGGGAAUAAGGCCCUAUGGGUCGUAAACCUCUUUUGUCAGGGAGCAAAGGCGUCCACGAGUGGACGAAAGGAGAGUACCUGAAGAAAAAGCAUCGGCUAACUCCGUGCCAGCAGCCGCGGUAAUACGGAGGAUGCGAGCGUUAUCCGGAUUUAUUGGGUUUAAAGGGUGCGUAGGCGGACGCUUAAGUCAGCGGUAAAAUUGCGGGGCUCAACCUCGUCGAGCCGUUGAAACUGGGGGCCUUGAGUGGGCGAGAAGAAGGCGGAAUGCGUGGUGUAGCGGUGAAAUGCAUAGAUAUCACGCAGAACCCCGAUUGCGGAGGCAGCCUUCCGGCGCCCUACUGACGCUGAGACACGAAAGUGCGGGGAUCGAACAGGAUUAGAUACCCGUGUA